rnacentral:rRNA from 1 species
UACAGAGGUCUCAAGCGUUGUUCGGAUUCAUUGGGCGUAAAGGGUGUGUAGGUGGCGCGCUAAGUCGGGUGUGAAAUUUCGGAGCUUAACUCCGAAACUGCAUUCGAUACUGGCGUGCUUGAGGACUGGAGAGGAGAUCGGAAUUCACGGUGUAGCAGUGAAAUGCGUAGAUAUCGUAAGGAAGACCAGUGGCGAAGGCGGGUCUCUGGACAGUUCCUGACGCUGAGGCACGAAGGCCAGGGGAGCAAACGGG